rnacentral:rRNA from 1 species
UGGGGAAUAUUGGACAAUGGGGGCAACCCUGAUCCAGCAAUGCCGCGUGUGUGAAGAAGGCCUGAGGGUUGUAAAGCACUUUCAGUGGGGAGGAGGGCAAUUAGGUUAAGAGCUAGAUUGUUGGACGUUACCCACAGAAGAAGCACCGGCUAACUCCGUGCCAGCAGCCGCGGUAAUACGGAGGGUGCGAGCGUUAAUCGGAAUUACUGGGCGUAAAGGGUGCGUAGGUGGUUUUUUAAGUUAUCUGUGAAAUUCCUGGGCUCAACCUGGGGUGGUCAGAUAAGACUGGAAGACUUGAGUGUGGGAGAGGGUAGUGGAAUUUCCGGUGUAGCGGUGAAAUGCGUAGAGAUCGGAAGGAACACCAGUGGCGAAGGCGGCUACCUGGCCCAACACUGACACU